GAUGUACUCCCUCCGUUCGGAAUUACUUGUCGCAGAAAUGGAUGUAUCUAGAUGUAUUUUAAUUCUAGAUACAUCCAUUUCCGAGACAAGUAAUUCCGAACGGAGGGAGUAUGUU
rnacentral:pre_miRNA from 1 species